rnacentral:lncRNA from 1 species
UAACUUUUUGAAUCUGUUUCCUUAUCUUUAAAAAUGUAACAUUUAGCAUAGAACAACAGAUACAUAGUUUUCUGUAAUGUAUAGUGGUCUACAGGCUUCCAGCGUCAGAUUCUCCUGGGAUACAUGGUAAAAAUGCAGAUUCUGGUGUACGAACCUAGAUAUGCUGCUUAAAAAUCUGAGGGUGAGAUCUGGGGAUCUGCAUUUUCAAUAAACUCACCAGGUGAUUCUUCUCCAUCUAAUUUUACUGAAAAGCAUCAAGGUAAAAUAAUUCACCAAAGUCAGACCUCUAAAUAACAGGCCCCCUCUCUUUGUUGUCUUCCUAAUGCAGUCUUUUUUCCAUUGUGCUCAGUACCUCUUAUUCCUGCUCCAAUUCCAAAACACAGAUGUCAAAAUUUUUUAAAUGUUUCUGUGUAUGUAUAUUCAGCGAAGAAUAUAAUCCAACCACAUUAACAAGUAUUGCUUAAUUAAAGUGUAUAAUAAGGUAUUUUUAGGGAAAUGAUCAAAUUAUAUGACCCAUGUCUUCAUCUAAAGUAUUUGAUUAAAAAAAUUUGUUUUUCGAAUAAGAAGCCCUGCAAUACUCUUAUUAUAGAUAUCCAAAGUAUCAGUAUUUGGGAGGCAGAGUUUCAACCAGAUCUACAUCCAUUUCUUUCAUUCUGGGAAGAGGCUGCUUUGGAAUUGUCUGAAAGUGGAUUUAGUAUCCAAGCUGGUCUACAUCCACCACAUUUGCACAAAGCUGCAAAAUGACUGCCUCAUAAACCGGUAA